CCAGCUAAGGUCCCAAAGUCAUGGUUAAGUGGGAAACGAUGUGGGAAGGCCCAGACAGCCAGGAUGUUGGCUUAGAAGCAGCCAUCAUUUAAAGAAAGCGUAAUAGCUCACUGGUCGAGUCGGCCUGCGCGGAAGAUGUAACGGGGCUAAACCAUGCACCGAAGCUGCGGCAGCGACGCUGAUGCGUUGUUGGGUAGGGGAGCGUUCUGUAAGCCUGUGAAGGUGGCCUGUGAGGGUUGCUGGAGGUAUCAGAAGUGCGAAUGCUGACAUAAGUAACGAUAAAGCGGGUGAAAAGCCCGCUCGCCGGAAGACCAAGGGUUCCUGUCCAACGUUAAUCGGGGCAGGGUGAGUCGACCCCUAAGGCGAGGCCGAAAGGCGUAGUCGAUGGGAAACGGGUUAAUAUUCCCGUACUUGGUGUUACUGCGAAGGGGGGACGGAGAAGGCUAUGUUGGCCGGGCGACGGUUGUCCCGGUUUAAGCGUGUAGGUGUGUGUUCCAGGUAAAUCCGGUUCACUUUAACACUGAGGCGUGAUGACGAGGCACUACGGUGCUGAAGCAACAAAUGCCCUGCUUCCAGGAAAAGCCUCUAAGCAUCAGGUAACAUCAAAUCGUACCCCAAACCGACACAGGUGGUCAGGUAGAGAAUACCAAGGCGCUUGAGAGAACUCGGGUGAAGGAACUAGGCAAAAUGGUGCCGUAACUUCGGGAGAAGGCACGCUGACACGUAGGUGAAGUGAUUUACUCA
rnacentral:rRNA from 1 species